rnacentral:rRNA from 1 species
GGGGGGGGGGGGGGGGGGGGGGGGGGGGGGGGGGGGGGGGGGGGGAGGGGGGGGUGGGGCGGGGGGGAGCGGCGGGCGGGGGAGUACGGGCUGGGAAUAUGCCGGGUAGUGGGGGAUGACGUCCGGGAACGGGCGCUAAUAACGCGUCCGUGCGGCGGGGGAGAGUGGUGGCUCUUCGGACCUCCCGCUAUCAGAUGGGCCUAGGUCGGAUUAGCUAGUUGGUGGGGUAAAGGCCUGACACGGCGACGAUCAGUAACUGGGCUGAGAGGAUGAUCAGUCACACUGGAACUGAGAAACGGUACAGACUACUACGGGAGGCACCAGUUGGGAAUAUUGGACAAUGGGCGCAAUCCUGAUCCAGGCAUGCAGCGUUUGUGAAGAAGGUCUUCGGAUUGGAAAGCACUUUAAUUUGGGAGGAAGGGCAGUAAGUUAAUACCUUGCUGUUUUGACGUUACCAACAGAAUAAGCACCGGCUAACUUCGUG